rnacentral:tRNA from 1 species
GCCUCGGUAGUUUAGUGGCUAGAACACGACCCUGUCGCGGUCGAGGUCCGAGUUCGAUUCUCGGUCGGGGCG